CCAUAACACACCUUAGUAGUUAUGCACUACCCAUGUGUGUUAUACUAUAUAAAGCCAACACCCCUUUUAUUUCUUUCUAUGUGGGACAAACACAUUCUCAAAACAAGCUUUUCCAAGCUACUAACUUCAACUUCAUUUCUCUUAUGGAUUUCAUUAAGAAAAUUCUUAAACCCAUACAUGAAAGUUUAAGUCCCGAUAUCUAGAACCAACUUCCAAUCAUUAGAUUAUGGAAUUAACAACAAGAACAUAAUAAAAUUAU
rnacentral:lncRNA from 1 species